CCUACGGGCGGCUGCAGUGAGGAAUAUUGGUCAAUGGACGCGAGUCUGAACUAGCCAAGUCGCGUGAAGGAUGACUGCCCUAUGUGUUGUCAACUUCUUUUAUCUGGGAAUAAAAUGUUCCACGUGUGGGCUUUUGUAUGUACCAUAUGAAUAAGUAUCGGCUACCUCCGUGCCAGCAGCCGCGGUACUACGGAGGAUCCGAGCGUUAUCCGGAUUUAUUUGGUUUAAAGGGAGCGUAGGUGGAUUGUUAAGUCAGGUGUGAAAGUUUGCGGCUAAACCGUAGAACUGCAGUUGAAACUGGCAGUCUGGAGUACGGGAGAGGUGGGCGGAAUUCGUGGUGUAGCGGUGAAAUGCUUAGAUAUCACGAAGAACUCCGAUUGCGAAGGCAGCUCACUGGACUGCAACUGACACUGAGGCUCGAAAGUGUGGGUAUCAAACAGGAUUAGAUACCCCAGUAGUC
rnacentral:rRNA from 1 species